rnacentral:rRNA from 1 species
UACGUAGGGUGCGAGCGUUGUCCGGAAUUAUUGGGCGUAAAGAGCUCGUAGGCGGUUUGUCGCGUCUGCUGUGAAAACCUAAGGCUCAACCUUGGGCUUGCAGUGGGUACGGGCAGACUAGAGUGCGGUAGGGGUGACUGGAAUCCUGGUGUAGCGGUGGAAUGCGCAGAUAUCAGGAGGAACACCGAUGGCGAAGGCAGGUCACUGGGCCGCAACUGACGCUGAGGAGCGAAAGCAUGGGGGAGCGAACAGG